rnacentral:rRNA from 1 species
UACGUAGGGUGCAAGCGUUAAUCGGAAUUACUGGGCGUAAAGCGUGCGCAGGCGGUUGUGCAAGACCGAUGUGAAAUCCCCGGGCUCAACCUGGGAAUGGCAUUGGUGACUGCACGGCUAGAGUGCGUCAGAGGGGGGUAGAAUUCCACGUGUAGCAGUGAAAUGCGUAGAGAUGUGGAGGAAUACCGAUGGCGAAGGCAGCCCCCUGGGAUAACACUGACGCUCAUGCACGAAAGCGUGGGGAGCAAACCGG